CCCGCUCCCUCUUCUCCAGCUCCCUGUAGCACGGGUUCCGCUCCGCCCCCGGAGCCCCGCCUCUGACGCCCGGCGCUCCGCCCCGCCCCCGCUCGGCUCCCUGCCCCGCCCCGCCCGCCGUUCCCCGCUUGCCUUCCAGCGCCGCUUGCGCUCCGGAGCGCUGGCUCUGCUGGCGCUAAGAAAUGGACCAAUUUUGACAAGAUAUAGUGCUGCAGCGUGCCUGAUGGGAUAUAUUCAGUCAUGGCAUCCGAACUUUGUAAGACGAUCUCUGUGGCAAGGCUGGAAAAGCACAAGAAUUUGUUCUUAAAUUAUAGGAAUCUGCACCAUUUUCCAUUGGAGUUACUGAAAGAUGAGGGACUGCAGUACUUGGAGAGACUCUAUAUGAAAAGGAACUCCCUGACAACCUUGCCAGAAAACCUUGCUCAGAAGCUUCCAAACCUUGUGGAACUAUACCUGCACUCAAAUAACAUAGUUGUGGUUCCAGAAGCCAUUGGGUCUCUUGUAAAACUCCAAUGUCUGGAUCUUAGUGACAAUGCCUUAGAAAUUGUUUGCCCAGAAAUUGGUCGUCUGAGAGCUUUACGUCAUCUUCGAUUAGCUAAUAACCAACUGCAAUUCCUACCUCCAGAGGUUGGCGAUUUGAAGGAGCUGCAGACACUAGACAUUUCUACCAAUCGUUUGCUAACUUUACCCGAGAGGCUUCACAUGUGCCUUUCUCUGCAGUACCUCACUGUGGACCGAAAUCGUCUAUGGUAUGUGCCGCGCCAUCUCUGCCAGCUGCCCAGCCUCAAUGAGCUCUCCAUGGCUGGAAACCGUCUUGCAUUUUUGCCACUUGAUUUAGGUCGAUCUCGAGAACUACAAUAUGUAUACGUGGAUAACAACAUUCACCUGAAAGGCUUGCCAUCUUAUCUGUACAAUAAAGUCAUUGGGUGCAGUGGCUGUGGUGCUCCCAUUCAAGUUUCCGAGGUGAAGCUGCUUUCCUUUUCAUCAGGGCAGCGAACCGUUUUCCUCCCAGCCGAGGUGAAGGCCAUAGGGACGGAGCAUGAUCACGUCCUCCCUCUGCAGGAAUUGGCCAUGAGAAGUCUGUAUCAUACCUACCACAGCUUGCUGAAAGAUUUGAACUUUCUGUCUCCAAUCUCAUUACCCAGAAGUCUCCUGGAGCUGCUGCAUUGCCCUCUGGGGCACUGUCAUCGGUGUAGUGAGCCUAUGUUUACCAUCGUCUACCCCAAGCUCUUUCCCUUGAGAGAGACACCAAUGGCAGGGCUGCACCAGUGAAGCCUCUUCAUUGGCACCCUCUUAAGGUGACUUAUGAAAUUUCCCACAAGUGAAAUAGUCUUCAAAAAGAGGACAACUGUUAGUUUUGUGGCUUACUGCUGCUCCACCCAGUGUCUGCAGACUUUUGACCUGCUGAGUUGAUAAACACUCAAGAGCCUCAGGAGCGCUGCCAGCUUGACACUGGGGAAUCCAGCCAGUCCAGCACACUCUUCCAUUCUGUCCUGUCCAAUGCGAGGGCACUGCAGAACUCUCUGGAAUUGUCGUGAUUGAGCUUCAGAGCUAAAAUGCCUUCACCCUUCCCCCAAGUUGGAAUAUAUCCUGCCCCAAAUUAAGGACCCGUUUGUCUUCUGUGUUUUUCCUUUUUAUGUGAGUGUGUCUUUUACACAAACCAUUUAGAUUGAUGAGCCUCCCCAAAUCUAAUUUAAAGCAAGUUUCAGGUGCCUGGAGAACAGUGAUUUGAUAAUCUAGCCAGAUUCCCUUUUGAACACGCGUACCUUCAAUGAUGCUUCCUCUCCUCUCCCUUUUUUUCCCCAGAGAGUUAUUUCCCUGAGAGCAUAUUCUCCACAGUGUCUCCAGUGGAAACUUGUUAGUUUUUGAGGAGUUUCAGAAAACCCCAUGGCCUCAAUGGUCUUGAGUAGCAGGGUGGGGUGCCUGAGUUGGCGGCAAAGUGAGGCUCCCAUGGAGGCUCAGUGAGGAUCCCAGAGCACACACCCUCUGGAAAGUUCCAGCCCUGUUUAUAAGUUUUACAAUGUAGCAACAGACUUUUGUGAGGGAUUUUAAAAACAAAAAUGUAGAUUGUAAUAAAAUACACUUCUUAUUUUUUAAAAAUGUUUGCAGAAAAAUGAUUUUGAAAUUUUUAAAUUUUCUGAUAAUUUUUUUUAUAUGAGAAGAAUCUGAGGAAUAUUUGAAGCUUUACAGGAUCUGAUUUUUUUUUCUUUCUCAAUAUAAACAGUUUCCAUACAAUGAGAAAGGGGAGAAAACACACAUUGAAAUAAGACCUCAGUGUUCUUUUUUGAUGGGUUUAUGAUUAAGUUUAUACUGACUUUGAAAUAUUUUUGUCACAUGUGAAAGACAGGCUUCAGCUACUUCCACUACUAGGUUUUAACAGGAUGAUUCUAAGUACAAGCUGUGCACAUUUACUUAGUCACCUGAUGCACGACAUUGUCUUCAUUUUGACCCUCGUUUCUUGUAUACUUAGCAUACUGUCCAGAUGCAAGUGAGAAAUACAGGAAAAGCAGGUCCAAAUUCAGCCUUGGACUUCUGCAAAAGUCCAUAAACAGAAAGUCUGUGAGUCUCCACCCUGCCAGAAAGAACUGCUCUUCAUGAAGGAGUCACGUAUUUGCUCUUCCUUUCAAAGGAUGGCAUUUUAAUGUUGCUUUGCUGCCAGAUGUUCAUCUGGUUGCUGUGAAGUGAUUCUUUUUUUAAAAUGUUUUUUAAUGAUGUAAGUUUUCUAAAAGGCAGGGCUGAAUGGAGAACCAAGGAUUUUCUUGGUAGAAAAAUUAUAUUUUUUAAAUUUCAGACUUAUCAAAAAUUUGGUUGAUGGAAUUUUUAUUAGCUGCCCUGACUUUGUAAUGCUACGCUCUAACAGUGCCAAAAAUCCUACAUAGUUACUGACAAAUGUGUGAUCUUUUUACAGUCACACCACCUGCUGCCCGGAAAGCACACCAUCCACGUAGAAUGGAGAAGGCAGAAAGUUACUGUGUGUUCCCACUGUAUCUGCACUGUUCUUACUUCCUCUUGUCCCUUUUCAUAACUUGGUCUAUUCAGCCUUAACAUUUCAAAGGCUUAUAGUAAAAUAGGAACUGAAGAUCUGUAUCAAAAUGUAACACUUUCAUCCUUUGGAAUAACUGAAGUUUUAACAUAACCUCUACAUGUAUAUAAGUUAGCCGGUGAAAAUGUGGCAUGAAACUUCACAAUUGUGCUUCAGGCUUAAGUGACUGCUACCUAUCAUUUAAGUGACAGUAAAUGUCUUGCUACAUUUUUCUAUUUCAUCCUCUACAAUCAUAUGUCAUGGAAUGGAGCUAUGAAAUGUGCUAACUUGGUAUUCAGGAUUCUCAUUGUGAUAAGGUAAUACAUUAGUUUUACCUUGUUUGAAAUUUUACAAAGAUGCUUACAAUCCAAGCAUUCUUUCUCUACCUAACUACGGUGUGUUAAACAGCAGUGGGCUGGGCAGACAACUUUUGGGCAGUCUCAACCUUAAUCCUUGGGUAUAGCACCUGAACUUAAUUGAUGAGAAGUGGAACUUAAAUGGUUUCCCUGGUGCUGUUCAUUGUGGAAAUUUUAUGCUGGAUUCAUCGAUGUCAUUCUUAAUCUUUUGAUAUUAUAAAGGAGUGUUAUCAACUGG